rnacentral:rRNA from 1 species
GGGUCAGUAGGUUGGUCGUGCCACCGGUACGUACUGGUCUCACUGAUUCCUCCUUCCUGAGGAACCGUAAUGCCAUUAAUUUGGUGUUGCGGGGAAACAGGACUGUUACUUUGAAAAAAUUAGAGUGUUUAAAGCAAGCUAACGCUUGAAUACAUUAGCAUGGAAUAAUGAAAUAGGACGAUCGAUCCUAUUUUGUUGGUUUCCAGGAUUGACGUA